rnacentral:rRNA from 1 species
ACGGCUCAGUAACACGUGGAGAACUUGCCCUAGGCUGGAGGAUAAUCUCGGGAAACUGAGGAUAAUACUCCGUAGUCCAUCCGUCCUGGAACGGUGGAUGGACAAUAGCUCCGGCGGCCUAGGAUAGCUCUGCGGCCUAUCAGGUUGUAGCGAGGGUAACGUCCUCGCUAGCCUACGACGGGUAUGGGUGUUGGGAGACAUCGCCCAGAGAUGGAUUCUGAGACACGAAUCCAGGCCCUACGGGGCGCAGCAGGCGCGAAAACUGCACAAUGUGGGAAACCACGAUGCGGGAAACCCAAGUGCCAGCACUAUGUGUUGGCUGUCCUCCAGUGGUCGUAACUGGGGAAGAAAGUGCUGGGUAAGACGGGUGCCAGCCGCCGCGGUAAUACCCGCAGCACAAGUGGUGGUCAUUAUUAUUGGGCCUAAAGCGUCCGUAGCUGGCCUGUUAGAUGCCUGGGUAAAUCGAUGCGCUCAACGCAUCGAAUUCCGGGUAGACCGGCAGGCUCGAGACCGGGAGAGGCGUGAGCUACUCGAGGGGUAGGGGUAAAAUCCUGUAAUCCUUCGGGGAGGACCAGUGGCGAACGCGUCACGCUAGAACGGCUCUGACAGUGAGGGACGAAGCCCUGGGGCGCAAACCGGAUUAGAUACCCGGGUAGUCCAGGGUGUAAACGCUGCAGACUUGGUGUCGGUGAUCCUACGAGGGUUGCCGGUGCCGGAGAGAAGUUGUUGAGUCUGCCGCCUGGGGAGUACGGUCGCAAGACUGAAACUUAAAGGAAUUGGCGGGGGAGCACCGCAACGCGUGGAGUGUGCGGUUUAAUUGGAUUCAACGCCGGAAAACUCACCUGGGGAGACUGCCGAAUGUGACUCCGUCUGAAGGACGUUGUCGAAUACAGGUAGAGAGGUGGUGCAUGGCCGUCGUCAGCUCGUACCGUAAGGCGUUCUGUUAAGUCAGAUAACGAGCGAGACCCCUACC